rnacentral:siRNA from 1 species
AGGGUUUCACAAAGCAUCUACAGG